GGCCUACCAUGGUGGUAACGGGUAACGGGGUGUUAGGGCACGACACCGGAGAGGGAGCCUGAGAAACGGCUACCACAUCCAAGGAUGGCAGCAGGCGCGCAAAUUACCCAAUCCCGACACGGGGAGGUAGUGACAAUAAAUAACAAUACGGGGUUCUUUCGGAUCUCGUAAUUGGAAUGAGUACAAUUUAAAUCUCUUAACGAGGAACAAUUGGAGGGCAAGUCUGGUGCCAGCAGCCGCGGUAAUUCCAGCUCCAAUAGCGUAUAUUAAAGUUGUUGCAGUUAAAAAGCUCGUAGUUGAAUUUCGGGGUUAGUAGGUUGGUCAUGCCUCUGGUAUGUACUGGUCUCACUGAUUCCUCCUUCCUGAUGAACCGUAAUGCCAUUAAUUUGGUGUUGCGGGGAAUUUGGACUGUUACUUUGAAAAAAUUAGAGUGUUUAAAGCAAGCUAACGCUUGAAUACAUUAGCAUGGAAUAAUGAAAUAGGACGUUCGAUCCUAUUUUGUUGGUUUCUAGGAUUGACGUAAUGAUUAAUAGGGAUAGUUGGGGGCAUUAGUAUUCAAUUGUCAGAGGUGAAAUUCUUGGAUUUAUUGAAGACUAACUACUGCGAAAGCAUUUGCCAAGGAUGUUUUCAUUAAUCAAGAACGAAAGUUAGGGGNAUCGAAGACGAUCAGAUACCGUCGUAGUCUUAACCAUAANCUAUGCCGACUAGGGAUCGGAUGAUGUUAAUUUUUUAAUGACUCNUUUCGGCGCCUUACG
rnacentral:rRNA from 1 species